GUAUAUCGCAUGUGGAGGCUAUCUGAGCAUGUUGAGAUCGUUGACUAUUCUUAUAUAGCAAUUUCCGACAAUCACGUUUCAUAUGGCCUGGCUUACGACAGUAGUUACAAACAAUCUCUACAGACUCUGGUUUUCGAUGAUCAGUACUAUUCCUCUGAGGUGCCCGAGGGUUAUUGUUCUUGCUAAAGAGAGCACUACUGGGUUGAGGAAUAGACACACUAGUCGGAGAGCUUUCAAUGCGAAGGACUCGAGUGAAGGCAUCAUCUAAUGAUGGAAUCUUGGAGUCAGAGAGAAUCUGUGUCUUUGCCAUUCCAAAUUCAGGUAAGAGUCCAUUCAGAAAAAUCAUAACAGCCAUCUUCUCUCGUUGAACUUGUUGAACUUUAACAUCAGGACUAAAAGGUAACAACAAGCCAAGCUCGGCAAUGAUCUUCUUAAGCCGCAUAAAGUAGCUGGUGACAGACUCAGCUUUCUGUUCCGCACGAAAAAAUUGCAUACAAACUUCAAACAUUCUAUGCACUUGCUCUUUACCUGAGUAUAGAAAAUCCAAAAAUUCCAAAAGUUCUUUAACAGACUCACAGUGAUCAACCAAUCCAAUUAUCUCACUCUCAAUUGAAUUCUUGAUCUGAAGAUAUAAACGGGCAUCAUCACGAAGCCAAUCCUUCUUCUGCUUUGCAUCUUUUGGGGGAUCUUCAGUCAUAUGAUCAUCCAUAUCAGUACUUCUCAAAUAAAAUAAAAUUGUCCGACGCCAAUCGUAAUAAUUGGAUCCAUUUAACUUAUGUUCUGUGAUCUUAGAGGCCAAGGGAAUAACGUUGGAGACUACCAAAUUUUUUAUGUCGGCCAUAUUGAAGUCACACGUUGAUUGUAAUCCACUCGAACAAAGAGAAAAUCAAUCCAAACAGCUGCAAAAUUGGAAAAAGACACAAAACCAAUCGUGUAACCUUCGGUUUUCGUCAAACCCGAAUGUUAUUUGAUAGACCCAAUGGUACAGACUGGCAGGAAACAAUGGUUCGAGACAAGCCCAGAAGACAGAAGACAAAUCGGACUUCACACGCGCUCUCACGCGCCGGCGCGUGGGUGAAGGUGACGAUGAUUCCGGCGGCGCGUGAAGGUCACGCGCGGUGUUUUCCGGCGAUCGGCGAAGACAGACUUGGGCGGACGGAGGUGGUGCUUCUUAUGGUAUGGGCGGUGUCGACAAAUGGUCACCGGAAGGUAACCCAAACUCCAAACCUAAUGGAGGGCUCUGAUACCAUGUAAUCUAGAAUUCAGAAACGUAUGUCUUAUUCUCAUUGAGUCAAAGCAAUGUUACAUAUUUAUAAAGAGAAUAAACUAAACCCUAGAGACUAUGUAAAAUUACAAUAAAGGACAUAUGUAUAUAUAUAUAUAUCAU
rnacentral:lncRNA from 1 species